ensembl:lncRNA
GAGGAGGGGUGUGUGUGUGUGUGUGUGUGUGUGUGUUGGGGGGGUUCCCUGAGGGUUGGUGUAUUUGUAUGAGCUUUACUCUCUCACUCAGUCACUCACUUAGUGACACACACACACUCACACACACACCCUCCAGUAGACACCCGGCAACACAGACUGGCUCACUCCUUCCUUCUCCCUCCCUCUCUCACGCACUCGCCCUGACAAAACCACCGCUCCUUCCGGAGGAACCAGACCCACAGACAAGAGAACCGAGGAGUCGAGAGCCAAGGCAGGAGCGGCGGACGAAGCAGACCACCCGCGAAGAACAGCAUCUGAAAGGGCUGCUCAGGAGCCGGAGAUUCAGACCUGAGCACGCAGGAGUCCUCAGAAAGGCUUUCUUUGGCCCCUCGUGGCAGCUGCUGAACUCUCGCCUCACCAGCCACAUGAGCCUUUCAUCAUCCUCGUUCCAGACCCACUGAUCAGAAGUUGCAUGUGGUGUGCAUGUGUGUGCAUGCGUCUGGUUUUAUCACCAACCAACAGACCCGAUUCACCGAAAAGUCAGAGAGAUCAGCCUCACACACACGUACUUUCAUGGGAGACCUCCUGCUGUAACGACAAGCAGCACCUUCUUCACACACUCCACCAUGAAGCUGCCCUCUCUCUGAGAUGAGUAAUCCGCACAAAUGGAAUGAAUUACUAAUCAGACGGUGCGCACACACACACACACACACACACACACACUUACACACGCACAUACAGCAGUGCAGACACGUGAAUAACAAAGGGGAUCAUGUAAAACAAAGCCUCUCCAGCCUCCACCCUUUUCCUGGAGGCCCACUGCUCCACAUUUUCUCAUCCAUGCCCAUUGUGCUUCCUACCUGCCACUCGCAUCGUUAGCUUGAUAAUGAACACCUGACCCUAAUUAAGUAAGCACUUUAGGGCCAUCACUGACAUUCCCUGAUGUAUGACAUGUUUAUGCUAUUGUUGGAUCAAGGGCAUAUUCAUGAUAAAUUAUCACAAAUAUAUUAAAUAUAGAAUAGAAAUUUCAAACAAAGGGUGGUAGUAGCCUAGUGGGUAACACACUCGCCUAUGAACCAGAAGACCCGGGUUCGAAUCCCACUUACUACCAUUGUGUCCCUGAGCAAGACACUUAACCCUAAGUUGCUCCAGGGAGACUGUCCCUGUAACUACUGAUUGUAAGUCGCUCUGGAUAAGGGCGUCUGAAAAAUGCUGUAAAUGUAAAUGUAAACAAUAGCCUAACAAUAACCUGAAUAUAAUAGCUGAAUGUAAGUUUCAAGAAUUUAAAGAUUGAACACAUACUAUUUAAAAAUACAUCGAAACCAGUGAUUAGCCAAUAUUACCAGCAAGUAACACAAGCUCAGGGUUGCAUGAAAAAGAUUUAAAUGAACAAAGAAUUACAGGAUGUCAAUCUGAACGAGACACAUAGAGAUAUUUUCACAGAAAAAAACUAAAUUCUGAAUUUCACCAUUCUGAAAAUAAUGCAACACACCAUGCACCACAUGCCCCGCUCAUGGCUGCCCACUGCUCACUCAGGGUGAUGGGUUAAAUGCAGAGGACAAAUUUCACUGUGUGCUGUGCUGCUGUGUAUCACGUGUGACAAUCACUUUCACAGGAUUCAGCACCAUGGACAGUAUCUGUUUAUUAUUCAGUAACUGCAUUUUAUAAUAAGGUACCUACAUAAAAUACAAAGAUUACAUGCAAUGCAUGUGUAGACAAAAAGUGUUAAUAGAUUCAUCCCUAGUCUCUUUUUUUCUUCUCAGUUCCUCACAGUUCUUCAGUUUGACAUGGUUCAGACAUGGUUCAGACUUUACUCUCUGGUUGUUUCUUGGUCUUCUUUAUUGUUUUUUUUUUCAUCCUUUGUUUGAUGCUUGUCAUGUUUAUCCUUCAUCUGUCUGUAAGUGAAAUAUGAUUCUUUGGUUUUGGUUUAACUAUCCUGCCAAUGCAUUUGACUUUGUUUCCAGAAAUGUAAUAUGCAGACAUGUAAUUGCAAGACGUCUUCAAAUUAGGCUCACGCUUCUUGAUCUCACACAGAGAGAGAUGUAGCAGCUGUCCCUGUCUUCCGUAUGGAGUCUUUACACUUCGGUGGCAGCCUGACGGUUUUGUUAGAGUGCAUGUUCUUUCCACUCGGGCAAACUGAAGUCGCAAGGAUCAUUCAAUCAGCAGAGGCAAUAAAGAGCAGGGUCUGUCUCGUAUGAGCUUCAUUAAGCAAAGCUAACUUGCUGAGCUGGCCUCCAUCUGCAUGUGAUGACGGCCUUUUCCUGCACAAUUAGGGACAAGAAUGGAAUCUGUUCCUCAGUUUUAAAACUUGUUCUCUUAUAGUUUCAAUAUUAGAGGGACACCUUACCAUGAAGGAACAAAAAUUCAGAGAACCCCUUAUGAUUGGUAACAAACCAUAAUUAAGGGGGGAGGGAAAUCUCACAGACCACGAAUUUAAAGAACAGUGAGUGGAAAUGUUGUUACACCAAAUACACUGCUUUGCAUUGCCAUUCUUGUAUCUGUCUGAAGAAAUAAGAGUUGCAAAGGGUUAGCAAACACCUCACAUUCAACACAAUCACCCACUGAUGGUAUACAAGAGACUCGCAUCAGCAAAAGGAUUUACCUAUGCCUCCAUCUCCAUUAGUCUGUUCUCUGCAAGGUUGCGCUGGUGUACUCUGAACAUCUGUACAGCCUUAAAAAACUAAGAGUGGUUUGUCUUUUCUACCCUCGUUCAAAAUUAUAACUUGACAUUAAUGGCUAUAUGUUGUCAUAAUGGUCUUCUGCUUUCCUUUGGAAUCCUUAUUAAAUGCAGUAGUAAAUGAAUUAUGUACAUUUAUAUUUACAGCAUUUAUCAGACGCCCUUAUCCAGAGCGACUUACAAUCAGUAGUGACAGGGACAGUCCCCCCCGGAGACCCUCAGAGUUAAGUGUCUUGCUCAGGGACACAAUGGUAGUAAGUGGGGUUUAAACCUGGGUCUUCUGCUUCAUAGGCGAGUGUGUUACCCAGUGCUUAAGUAGGGAGGUCCCUGUAUGCAGAAUCUUUAUUUGAAAAUGGAGCUACUCGUAGUCUGAGCUGCAGAAGCAGGCGUACACAUGAAGAGCAGGUAGUAAACUCUCAGGGGCGUUAGGCAGCCACAUCUGCCAUAAUGGGGGAAUUGAUGAUGCUUGUAAUGGUCAUAAUGGCACUGAUGAUGUUGCCGACGCCACGCACAGUCAGAGAUGGCGUGGAAAUCCCAGUGCGAGACGGGGGACGUCGAGGUUUGAUAUUGUUUCCCCAGUGGUGCAAUUAUGCCAGGAACACAGGAACAAGGGCACCUGUUGGACGUGGCCAUUGUUCUGGCAAAUUAAUACAGACAAGCAAACAAACGAAUGGCACUGGCUACAUAGGGAUGUGUUGGUACAAUAACAAGAGCAGCAAGACAUAGAGAGGUAAUGAAGGAGCCAUUUUCAGACCUGCAUAAUAUUUGGAAGGUCAUGGAGAACAAGGGCCAUAGAACUAUCCAUUAUGGCCCCUGGCACCAGUGAUUGAAGUGCAGUUUGUACUAUUUAAGGAAAAAGGCAAAUACAAAGUGCAUAAAAACAGUGAGCUUUUCUGGGGUUUUUUUCAUUAGCGAAAAAUAAGUAAUAAUUAAAAUAAAGUGUAGUGAUUGUCACAUGUGAUACAUGGCAGCACAGCACACAGUGCACACAGUGAAAUUUGUCCUCUGCAUUUAACCCAUCACCCUGAGUGAGCAGUGGGCAGCCAUGACAGGCGCCCGGGGAGCAGUGUGUGGGGAAGGUGCUUUACUCAGUGGCACCUCAGUGGCACCUUGACAGAUCGGUAUUCGAACCGGCAACCUUCUGAUUACAGGGGGAGCUUCCUUAACCGCUAGGCCACCACUGCUUCAGUGGCAUGUUGCUAAAGCAACAUCAUUUUGAAGGGCUUGGAGAUUUGGCUUAUUUUUAAUAACAUUGCCCAGCAUAUUCAUUCAAAGGCAACAGACAGAAAGACCAAUGUUCUUUCUUCAAAGAAUUUCCUUCAGGGCCACGUGCAAACACACAGGACUUUGCUGACCACAACAGGAUCUUUUUUUAAUCAAGGCCAGGUUGUUUAAAACAGUCCUGGGUCACACAUAAAUAAAUCAAUAGUGAUAUAAACUAUUUAAACCCAUUUUAUCACUUGUUAUGGGUCCACCCCACCCUCCAGGGGGCAGUGUACCAAGUGUGAGCCGAAGGUUUAAGAUACUGUAGUAUUUGAGGAGAAAGGAGAUCCAAGGCCUCUGUAGGAGUUCUGGGAGCAAAUAUGCUUUGUUCAUUAAUAUUUAAUGGAAAGGCUUCCUCUGUUUUUCUCCCAAAGUUAAUUAAUUCACUCUGAAACACCCAUCCCGCAUGACCCUCAGGCCAUUGUUGUUUACUAGUCUGGUUCAGUUGCUGUAUAAAUUACAGGAGCAGAAUUUAAUAUUAAACAAUUUUAGCUUUGACUAUAAACUCAAGUUGGAGUUAAAUAAUGUGGGACUGAUCAAUCAUAAAUUGACUAAAAAUAAUAAAAAUAUUGCAUAACACACUUGCCUGUAAACCAGAAGCCCAAAAACGUCACAGGUUUAAACCAGACUUACUACCAUUGUGUCCCUGAGUUGCUCCAGGGGGACUGUCCUUGUAACUACUGAUUGUAACUCCCUCUGGAUAAGGGCGCCUGAUAAAUGGUAUAAAUGUAAAUGAUUUGAAGGGCAAUUUUGCCAGUAAGUCCUUGAAUGCAUCUAUAUACCCAAAGAACAUCAUACACUUGCACGGUGUGAGUAAUAGCUAUAAAACCAGAACUAUUGCCCCAAACAAAUUCCGUUUAAUAGUAACCAUUGAGCCACAGUGUAGGCAACUUGGAGUGGCCAUGACCUUUGAUCAUCAAAAUCUAAUACAAUUAGUCCAAAUUAAUGCACAUUGACCUUCAACUUGAACUUGAACCACACUCUAAUCGAACCACACUCAAUCUGUAGACAUUCUAUAGCAGUGUUAUGGAUAUCACAGUGUCCUUUGACCUCCAAAGUCUAUUGUGAAUGUUGGACCAGCUCCACUAUGUCUUUGAGAAUAGGUGUUUUAAGUGAGAAUAUAUGUAAAACAUUUUCAAAAGAGUAUUUUCCUUUUCUCAGGUAACAUUUGUGAGGAGUGUCAUUGGAGUGCAUGUGACUGCGC